GGGGAUGUCACGGCUUCGACGAGUAGCAUCGCGCACCAGUCUGCAUGUCGAGCCUUUUUGGCAGGCUCGUAAAUCUCGCCAAAAAACCGUAACUGCGGACGAUUACUCGUACGCGAUGGCGGCGUAAAGCCCCAUCUGUCUUAUAGCCUACCUGUCCGUUGGUGGUUAUAAGGCAUCGACUUAGACGGAAUAGUCUGCUGUGUGCUGGUUGAGCAUAGCAGGUGAAACUUCUCAACCUCGGUUUGUGCCUGGCUACGAUGGCCAGCUUCAGGUGCAGACGACAACAAAAGGGCUAUCUAAGCAUGUAGGUGGCUGAAUGUUCGACUGCUCGGACGCGGGUUCGAUUCCCGCCAUCUCCACCA
rnacentral:tmRNA from 1 species